rnacentral:lncRNA from 1 species
CUCAGUAAACCCCAACUCUUCCAAUAUCUUUUUUUUUUGUAUUCUCUGCCACCUCAGCAAUAUAGAGAGAGCUUUUUUCUAAGUUGUCUUGUAACCCUGAGGCACCUGAGAAUCUUAAGAAUACAGCAUUCAUCAUUUGUACUAAUAGAAGAUCAGCUCUACAGUACAUUAAAAGAUCAUCUGCAAAGCCGAUGUGUGUGUUCCUCAACUUCCAGCAUUUUUGGAUGGUAAUUGAAGUCACUGUUUGUAGCCAUUGCUUUUAGUUCUCUACCCAAGUACUCCAUCACAAGGAUUAAAAGGUAGGGAGACAUAGGAUCUCCCCGUCUUAUUCCUCUUUUGGCUUGAAAAAAUGUUGUGAGUCCUCCAUUAAUCAGACGAGAGUAUGACACAGUGGAUAUGUACUCCAUAAUCUAGGUUACAAAUUUUGCAGGAAAUCUCAUGUCAAUCAACAAUUUUUGUCAGAAGCUCCAUUCCAAGGUAUCAUAAGCUUUCCUUAAAUCUACUUUUAAGACACAUCGAGGAGAAAUCCACUUCCUGUUGUAGCUCUUGAAGAUUUCAUGACUUAACGUGAUAUUAUCCAUUAUGAUUCUACCCUCUAUGAAAGCUGAUUGGGAGCAACUAACCAGAUCUGAUAUCACCUCUUUGAAUCUGUUAGUGAGUACCUUAGAUAUGAUUUUAUAUAGAGUGGUGCAGCAUGUAAUAGGUCGAUAGUUUUGACCUUUGUAGGGGAUGGAACCUUAGCGAUGAGGGUUAUAGCAGUCAUAUUGAUACCAGGCCACAACUUAUUUGUUUGAAAGAAUUGUUUCACUGUGAGUAAUAUGUCCUUGCCCACUAGGUCCCAAUUUUUUGUAAAGAAUUCAAUAGGAAAUCCAUCCACCCCAGGUGAUUUAUUUUUAGGCAUAGCCUUUAUUAAUGCUAGGAUCUCCUCCUUAGUCACCUCUUGUAUCAAUUUCCUCUGCUGUUGUAUUGUUAGGCAGGUGCCUGUCCUCACUAUCUCAGUAUUGAGACAAGGAAGGCUCUUUGUGCAAUCUCCCAUUAACCCUACAAAGACAAAAAUGAACUCCUGCUCCACCUGGUUAGGAUCUAUAAGCUUCAUACCUGCCUCAGUGUAUAUAGAGGUGAUAGAAUUAAGUGAGCUUCUGAUCUUCCACUGGGCAUGGAAGUAUGCAGUGUUGGAGUCUCCAUAAUCAAUCCAUAACACUGGAUUUUUGUCUCAAUAAUAUUUCCUCUACAGUGCUCCACUUUUCAAUAUCUUGAAGUAGUUUCUUUUCUUCAUCACACAGAUUAGCAUCCAAAACCUGAUCCUUUUGCUGGUCCUGAAUGAUCUCAAGUUCUUCUCUAGCUUCACUCAAGUGUUGUUUAUGAGAGGCAAAAUAGAUAUUAAGCACUUUAAACUGCAUUUUAAGAUCCUUGAGUUUAGUCCAUACAUUAACAACUACAUUCUCAUUCCUCUAUUGAUGCCAUACUCUGGCUUGGGGUGAAUGAUAUUAUGUUAUUUGCAUCUGAUUAUAAUAGGGGUAUGAUCAGAUACCGAGGGAUUCCCAUAUUCAACUUCUACAUGCCCCAGAUUCUGUAUCCAUUUGAAAUCUCCCAAUGCCCAAUCGAUCUUACUAUACACUCUAGUUUCCAUUGACUGUUUAUUACUCCAACUGAAGUGCCAUCCCUUCCUUCUGAUGGGUGUGAGCUGCAUUGCAUCUAGUAACCCUUGAAAGCCUUGGGUUUCCUGCUGUGUGACAUCAGAUCCUAAUCUAUCUCCAAAACUCAGCACAAUAUUAAAAUCACCACAUAGAACCCAAGGUUCCUGAUUCUGUAUAUCGUCCUGGGUAAGCUCAUGCCAUAGUAUUUCUCUACUCUGCAGAUCAUUUUUAGCAUAGACCACUGUGGCAUAUAUUGCCAGAUGGUUUCCUAGAUCUUUCACUAGGCAAUGAAUAAAUUAUUCCUUAACUUCUAGUAAACUCACCAGCAGGUGUGGUUUCCAAACAAUCCAUAUUCAACCAUUUUGAUGACAUCUAUGAUUUGUACAGCUAUUCCAUCCUUUUGCUAUUUUUCUAUGAAUUUUCUGAAUACAAUGCUCCUUUACCCUUGUUUCUACACACCCAAAGAAGUCUACUUUAGUUUUAGCAAGAAAAAGUUUUACCUCUUUCUGCUUAUGGGCUUGAUUCAAGCCCCUAAUGAUCCAGGUGGAGAUGAUCAUGGAGGGAUCAGUGGCAUGUAGUUGCCAGCAUAUCUUCCACACGAUUUCCAGUUUGAGCUGAACUAGUUCCUUUCAUCACCUACUGUUUUCCUUUUCUCUAUCUUUGUCGAGUCUCCACCAGUAGGUCAUGUAUACUUCUAGGAUCUUCAUUUGUUGUAUCAUUUACUCCCCUGUUGUCUACUGUGACGCUUGUCUCUAUAUUCUUUCGCAUAGAGUUUUGGAUCUACUGAACUUCUGCAUUUCCUGUUUCAGUAGUUGCCAUAUUCACUAGUUUUUUUGCUUGCCAUUCCAUUCUAGGAGCUUUUUUCUUUUUGUUUCUGUGAUUUUAGUUCUCAGCAGGUGGCUGCUGGUCUUUUAUCUCAUCUUCCUUUUCCUUGUACCAGCAUUCCUUCUCCUCAUGCCCAAAAAUAAGACAAAUAUUGCAGUAUUUGGGUCUCCAAUCAUAGGCAACUGGUUGUCUCCAAACUCCACCACAGUCUUAAUGUGAAUAUGAUCAGGGAGUGGUUGAGAUACAUCGACCUCAAUCAAUAUUCUAGCAUAUGAUAUUUUAUCCACAUUAGCUGUAUAAUUGUCAGUUCGAAUGGGUUUUCCUAUUGCACUAGCCACCUUACUAAAGCCUUCAAUCGACCAGUAGCCUACAGGUAAAAAGAACACUAAACUGUUCUUGAUUCAACUCCAAGUCCAAUUCCCAUGGCUGCAGUAUUAUUGGUUUAUUAUUAUAAUAGUACGGUCCUGAAAGCUUCACCCAUUCCUUCUCCGCCAUUGAAUUGAAUUUGAAUAUGAAAUAGCCAUCAUCAUGCAUUAACACCUUUGGUUUAGUGACAAAGUCCCAAAUCCUAGUCACAUAAUUCUCCAUUGUUGUUCAGUUGGUAUUUCUCCUUAGACAUAACCAAUCAAUGAUGAUUCCCAUAUUUCCACUUGUUGCCUAAUGUCAUCUUCUUCAAUUAUGACAGUGAGAACGCCAUCCUUCAUAAAAGGGGGAAUAUACUUUAAUAUCUUGCCCUCACUGCGAUUACCUGGCUUCUCCGGCGGCGGCGGUGCAUUUGGUAUUGAUUCCGUUGAUGUGCCAGCCUCCGAGAAAUGAAGUUGUCUAACAUCUAUGCUAAUCUCCCCUUUCUCCUUUGCUAGAUGUAUCUCCUCCUCCAAGCUGCUCGUAUCAUUUUCCUCUGGGAUCGUCUGAAAAUUAGGCGGUAGAAAACUCCCAAACGUAAUCGGUGCUCGCGGUUGGUUUCCAUCGUUCGCCGAUGUAGUGAGGUUAGUGGGAGGCAGGGUAGGUUGUGCCUUCUUCUACCGUGCCAUUGCUAAUUCUCCAUCACAAUUGCACCCUUGCUAUCCUGCACCGAGAGAUUUUCAACGGUUUCUAACGUGCGCUCUUCCAGUACAUCGUGUAUCCUUCCAACAAGAUCCUUAAUUUAAGGGAUGGUAGUUGAAAGAAGAGUCAAAU